GUUGUUUUCAAAUCUACAUAUAUUUAAAAUUGGAAGGACACAGAGAGGAUUAGCACAGGUCCUUUGCAAGGAUGCCAUGCAAUUUAUAUAUAUAUACGUGGAAGGAUUGU
ensembl:snRNA U6 U6 spliceosomal RNA